rnacentral:rRNA from 1 species
UACAGAGGGUGCGAGCGUUAAUCGGAAUUACUGGGCGUAAAGGGUGCGUAGGCGGUCGGGUAAGUCUGACGUGAAAUCUCCGGGCCUAACCCGGAAACUGCGUUGGAAACUGCCUGGCUAGAGGAAUGGAGGGGAGACUGGAAUACUUGGUGUAGCAGUGAAAUGCGUAGAUAUCAAGUGGAACACCAGUGGCGAAGGCGAGUCUCUGGACAUUUCCUGACGCUGAGGCACGAAAGCCAGGGGAGCAAACGGG